AUUGAACGCUGGCGGCAGGCCUAACACAUGCAAGUCGAACGAGUGGCGGACGGGUGAGUAAUGUCUGGGAAAAUGCCUGAUGGAGGGGGAUAACUAAUGGAAAAGGUAGCUAAUACCGCAUACCAUCAGAUGUGCCCAGAUGGGAUUAGCUAGUUGGUGGGGUAACGGCUCACCAAGGCGACGAUCCCUAGCUGGUAUGAGAGGCGGACCAGCCACACGAGAACUGAGACACGGUCCAGACUCCUACGGAGGGCAGCAGUGGGGAAUAUUGCACAAUUGGCGCAAGCCUUAUGCAGCCAUGGCGCGUGUAUGAAGAAGGCCUUCGGGUUGUAAAGUACUUUCAGCGGGGAGGCGUUACCCGCAGAAGAAGCACCGGCUAACUCCGUGCCAGCAGCCGCGGUAAUAC
rnacentral:rRNA from 1 species